UGACCCUCCUGUGUCAGCCUCUCAAGUGCUGAGAUUAAAGCCCUUAGGGAUGUGCAAAUCCAACUGCACUGAAAUUCCAUCUCAUCCCAGUAAGAAUGGUGAUCAUCAAGAAAACAAAUGAACACAAAUGCCGGUCCCUGAGAAGCUUGCUUGCUCGCUACCUACUUCCCAGGGACUAUCAACCCAGUCAUGGAGUUUCUUCCUGGAGAAAUGCAAGUGUUGCAUCAUUGCUAACUUCACACUUCCUCUGAACAACACAGCUUUCCUGGAGGCUGAGGGGUAGUGAGGGAAUGCUUCAGGAUCAUGAGGCUCUCUCAUCAGGGGCAAAGGUCUGGGGAUUGAACCCAGAAGGUCAAACUUUGCAACAAGAGCCUUUACCCACUGAGCCAUUUCUCUGCCUGCCCCUGGAUGUUUUUGAUAGCUCUUAUUAUCAACAUGAAGAGCCCCCUCUACACCCCUUCACGAUUUCCUGGCUUUGUUUUGGCUAGGGUUUGGUAUAAGUGACUCCAUUUUGAGCAUAAUAAAUUUCAUAACACUCACUGUCUACGGCGUAGACUGAGGUUUUUAUGGGUUUAACGAGCGAGACCUCAUUCUUGGAGAAAGAAGUACAGAAAGGGCAGGCUUGGACUGUUGAAAAGCGACUUGAAGACAUCGUUUGCAGGUAGGAUGGGAUGGAAAACCUGCAAAGGGAGCUGAGAAGCAGAGUGGACAUCUUGCCUAUGGUGAGAAAAGUGAAACCAGGUUAAAUUUGCCCUCUGCGAAAUGUCAAUGACAAUUGUUAAUUGUCUCCAAUCUGAAAGUCUCAAACGAUCCAAAAUCCUGAACAUUUUGAUCAUCGUUGUGAGGCUAUGAGUGUGUAAUUUCACCUUAAGCUCCAAUGAUGGGCCACAACCAUAGCACAGGCACACUGAAUAUUCCCUUCAAGCUGUAUGCAAAACCUACCAACUUCAUAUUUAGACUUGGGUCCCAUCGACAAGCUACCUCAUGAUGUAUAUGCAAAUGCCCAAAUCCAAAACAUGUCAGGUAAGGGAUUCUCACUCCGAACAUGCCCCACAGUUGUCGUGAGUCGUAGACCGUUACCACGCACCUAGCGAUUUCAAGUCGUUUCUAGGCUGGUGUUGGCUGCUGUCUUACUAUUAUUGUUCUUGGAUGACUUGCUUCGUUUC
rnacentral:sRNA from 1 species